UACGUAGGUGGCGAGCGUUGUCCGGAUUUACUGGGCGUAAAGAGCGCGCAGGCGGUCGUUCAAGUCGCGUGUGAAAGCCCCCGGCUCAACUGGGGAGGGUCACGCGAUACUGAUCGACUCGAAGGCAGGAGAGGGAAGUGGAAUUCCCGGUGUAGUGGUGAAAUGCGUAGAUAUCAGGAGGAACACCUGCGGUGUAGACGGCUUACUGGACGGUAACUGACGCUGAGGCACGAAAGCGUGGGUAGCAAACAGG
rnacentral:rRNA from 1 species